rnacentral:rRNA from 1 species
CAUAGAUCAUUAGAUUUCACCCUUACCUAUGGAAUACCGUCGCCGUCUCCCGUCCCCAAGUAAGGCGGUAUUCCUACCAGGCCGACCGUUGGGCGGCCGGAUUUAAGCAGGAACCUACCAAACAGGCUACGAACGCUUUAAGCUCAAUAAUUGUGGACACCACUCGAAGAGCUGGUUUUACCGC